GACAGAGGGUGCAAACGUUGUUCGGAAUUACUGGGCGUAAAGCGUGUGUAGGCGGCCACGUAAGUCGGAUGUGAAAGCCCCGGGCUCAACCCGGGAAGUGCACUCGAUACUGCGUGGCUUGAGUACUGGAGAGGUUGGUGGAAUUCUCGGUGUAGAGGUGAAAUUCGUAGAUAUCGAGAGGAACACCGGUGGCGAAGGCGGCCAACUGGACAGAUACUGACGCUGAGACACGAAAGCGUGGGGAGCAAACGGG
rnacentral:rRNA from 1 species